rnacentral:lncRNA from 1 species
UAAGUUUAUCUAAAAGGAAUAAAGUAGAGUGGCAAAGCAAGACAGCUGGAAACAGCCUUGCUUUAUAUGGGCAUGAGCAUUUCCCAUAUAUUUGCAUGCAUAUAUGGCACACACGCACAGUAUCUGUACAACACACACAAACACAUACACAUAAUUAAGAGAGGAUACUAAAAUUAUACUUUAUUUGUAAGAUGCAUUUAUGUAGGAGACAUUUUGUCAGUUCCUAGUAGGAAAACAUAAGUAGUUUAAAAAGUUCUAAUUAUUAGUGAAUUAGGAGGUACAUGUAUACAAAUAAAUUAAUGACUCUUACCUUGUAAACAAUUUCUCUAUAGACAUUCCUGAAUUAGGAGGGUUUCACAGAGGAAGUCUCAUGAAACAAUGAGUAGAGGAAGUGAUGCACACAAAAGAAAGCACCCACUGUAUUACUCAGUAUGGUUUGUUCCCUCAGAGCUAAGGCAUCAAAGACAGACCCAAGCAAUUACACUAUCCCAGGCAAGCUUGGUGAACCAGACAGGAAUAUGAGUGAGCUGUAACUGAUAGACAUGUGGAUAAUACAAAUGCAGCCACAUCACUGAAAAUGUGGACUUAUAUUUAUUAAGUAACCUUAUAAUUAUGUUCUGCACUUUACAUGCAGAUAUACCAACAAAUUUAUAUAUAUAUAUGAAAGCAGUUUUGGAAAAGGUUUACUUUUUAAUUGAAGGAUGGUUUUUCAACAUUCUUGAUGGUAUGAUAUUUAAAAAGGAAGGCAACUUUAGCUUUACCAUACCAGAGAAUGUUAGUGAACAUAAUUGCCUAGUGAGUUCAGUAACAGACAUUAGCCUAAGGACUUAACAUAAAUUACUGCAUUGGCUCUUUGCAGUAGCUGUAAUUGGUACUUACACCGAGGAAACUAAAAAUCAAAUAGGUUAAUUAACUAAAUCUAACUUACACAGUAGACAGUAAUAUUAAAUUUGGGUUCAAUACAAUCACAUUUGAGACCAGAAUCUGAACUUUUAAACCUACUGUGAUUUGCACCAAGCAUCACUAAUUGGCUAUCUGCCACAUGCCAUACAUAGUGACUGCUCCAAUCACAUGCAUUUAUCAGCCGUGUUCUGUAAUCUAUGAUGACAUUUUGUAGUCUUCCUUCUUGGGUUCUGACCACUUACAAAUAUUCUUCACAAGGACAAAAAAUUGCUUUACGUGAACCAUCAACCCACUGUGUAAAAAUCAUAAUCAUUGUCUAUUAAUGAGUCAAUUUAAUUCACAUUUGCACUUUAAGAAAAUGGUAACUCUUGAUUCAUCUCUUUAUUUCUUCACGUAUUUUUAUAACUAUUGUCCAUAUCUUACUUAGCAAAUGGUAGUCAAUCUUUGUUAUAAAAUUAGCUCUAACUGAAGC